AUGACAGGAAACCCAGCAGCUUAUCAUCUAUCCCCAGCAGCUGCAGUAGCAGCACCAGGCUGAGAUGGCCAAGAUACCUCUUCAUUCCAGCUCUGGGCUCCUUGGACUCCGCUUCUCCCAUGUCCUCUUUGCCGUCUGGUGCGCCUUUGUGGGCAGUGGCUCUGCGGUGAAAGUGAUCCAGACUCCAAGCUUUGCCCAUAACUCAGCAGGGCAAAAUAUUACCUUCCACUGCUCUGUGAAUGAAGCAGGCUACAAAUUUUUUUGGUAUCAACAAUUGCCUGGGAAGACAGAACUGACAGCCCUCGGGUACCUCUCCAGUUUUGACAAAGACCUUCAAGACAGACAUAAGGAUUGGCAGAAUCGUCUAGAAGCAAAGUGGGAAGGCUCAAAAAACCAGGAGAUGCGUUUGAAUCUGUUACAUCUUCAGGCGAGUGACACAGGCUUCUACCUCUGUGCUGCCGUGUACACGGUGAAUGAGAUUCAGACUCUGGAAACCUCAACUCCACCCAUCGUCUCCAAUCAUAGUCUCUCCGGAUGAACAAGACUAUAACUUCCAAGCUGGUUAGGGACAAUGGGAGUUGUGCUCCAAAGCAUCCAGUAGACAUCUGGUUGAGGAGGAUCCACACACUGAGGACACCCAAGCAGCCUAACACAAAUUCAUUUGCAUUGUGCUAACAUUAGCUCAAAACCAUUCUAUAAAAAUUCCAUGGUAUGAAAUAUAACAUCAGUUCCCACCUUAUUCCAAGCAAUAAUGUAUGUGUGGGGGUGUUUCCUGACAGUGUAUGGUGAAUUCAGUCCCUAUGGUUCUUAUAGGUUAGCAUAUUAAUGGUGGUUUUUCAAUAUAUCAUGAUUAAAUACACAAAACGUAUAUUAUAUGUACAGCUGGUCACCAAACACCUAUUUUGUUCUUGAAUAUGAUGAUGGGCAAAGAAUAGAAUAGAAUAGAAUAGAAUAGAAUUCUUUAUUUGCCAAGUGUGAUUGGACACAU